rnacentral:pre_miRNA from 2 species
CUUGGAGAGAUAGUAGACCGUAUAGCGUACGCUUUAUCUGUGACGUAUGUAACACGGUCCACUAACCCUCAGUAUC